CAAAGGCUUGGUCCUGACUUUACUAUCAACUUUAGCUAAACUUACACAUGCAAGUAUCCGCACUCCUGUGAGAAUGCCCUACAGUUCCCCGCCCGGGAACAAGGAGCAGGUAUCAGGCACACCUCUAGUUAGCCCACGACGCCUUGCUUAGCCACACCCUCAAGGGAACUCAGCAGUGAUAAACAUUAAACCAUAAGUGAAAACUUGACUUAGUCAAAGCUAAGAGGGCCGGUAAAACUCGUGCCAGCCACCGCGGUUAUACGAGAGGCCCAAGUUGAAAGACCCCGGCGUAAAGAGUGGUUAAGCUAGAAUUUAUACUAAAGCCGAACAUCCUCACGGCUGUUAUACGCACCCGAAGAUAAGAAGCUCAACCACGAAGGUAGCUUUAUACAUCUGAGCCCACGAAAGCUACGGCACAAACUGGGAUUAGAUACCCCACUAUGCCUAGCCCUAAACAUUGAUAGUACCCCACACCCACUAUCCGCCUGGGAACUACGAGCAGCAGCUUAAAACCCAAAGGACUUGGCGGUGCUUU
rnacentral:rRNA from 1 species